AUUGUGAUAACUUACCCUUCGUGGAUGUGUCUUUGCUCAUGGGGGUUUUGCUGCCCGGGGUCAAUUUUGAGUUCCUUCCACUGAAAACAGGAAAAGGAGAGUUGGUUUAAAACACAAAAAAGAUGCACCAUUACAAAAUCUUGGCUGGAUAAAUCACAUGAUUUCCUACCAGAAAAGCCACAGCAUUCCCACCGCCCAGCGACUGCAGACUGUGGAGGGGUGGCGGGGGGGACAUUGGAGACGUGGAUUUGAAAAGGAGCCCGUCCGAUUUUGCCAUUGUGCCUUUUCAUUCAUCGAUCGAAUGAAUAUCGAACCUUCUG